UAAAACCUAAAGGCGCAAUGAAAGUGUCAGGAGGGCCUCCUCAGGGAGGUCCCCCCCGCUGGGAGGAUGGGCUACCGUACAACUGCUGUCGGAGCCCCGCACUCCCGGGGCGUCUCGUUCUCAUGACGAGUAGAGACGCACCAGGAGCGCGCACGCUGGUACCCGAAAGAUGGUGAACUAUGCCUGGCCAGGACGAAGCCAGGGGAAACCCUGGUGGAGGUCCGAAGCGAUUCUGACGUGCAAAUCGAUCGUAUGAGCUGGGUAUAGGGGCGAAAGACCAAUCGAACCAUCUAGUAGCUGGGUCCCUCUGAAGUUUCCCUCAGGAUAGCUGGCUCUCACGAUCAGACGAGUCUCAUCCGGUAGAGCGAAUGAUUAGAGGUGAUGGGGUCGAA
rnacentral:rRNA from 1 species